rnacentral:tRNA from 1 species
GCUUAGUUGGUAGAGUACAAAGCUCUUAACCUUGUGGACGUGGGUUCGAGUCCCAU